AUUUUUUACAUUUCAUUUGUAAAUAUACUACAGUCAUUAACCUCUGACAUAUUCUCGUUUACUAGAUACUCCAAAGAACAACUCAGUGUCAGUCAGUCCCUCUCGUGAAAUAGUGGAGGGAGGUUCAGUGACUCUGACCUGCAGCAGUGAUGCCAACCCACCUGUGGACAAAUACACCUGGUACCAGAAGAACGUAACCUCACCAAAAGCAUCAGGACAGAGUUACAGCAUCACUAACAUCAUCUCUGAGGACAGAGGAGAAUAUUACUGUGAGGCUGAGAAUAAAUAUGGACGUCUCAACUCUUCUUCUGUGUCUGUGGACGUUCAGUGUAAGUUCACCUCAUCUUUAAUCAGAGGAUCACAUUUAAAUUCAUAUUUCAAUAACAAGAAAAACACUAUUUAAUACACUGUUGUUACAUAUUGUCCACCAGACGGCCCAAAGAACACCUCAGUGUCAGUCAGUCCCUCUGGUGGAAUAGUGGAGGGCAGUUCAGUGACUCUGACCUGCAGCAGUGAUGCCAACCCACCUGUGGACAAAUACACCUGGUACUUUCAAAAUGAGACUUUUCUAAAUGGAUGUGGACAGAUGUACAACAUCAGUAACUUCAAGUCUAAGGACAGUGGACAUUACCACUGUGAGGCCUGGAAUAGAAGAGGAUCUAGGAACUCUACAGCUGUGAUGAUCAUUAUACCAGGGAAACAAACCUCAGUUCUGACUACAGCUGUAGGAAUCAUAGUGGUUGUUCUGGUUCUCAUCCUCUGUUUCUCUGGACUCAUGUGGUUCAGGAAGAAGGCCUCCAAAUCCACCUCUGACACAAGAGACACAUCAGAGAAUGUACAGGUGAGUCUGUUGGAAACAGAGAAUGUACAGGUGAGUCUGUUGGAAUCAGAGAAUGUACAGGUGAGUCUGUUGGAAUCAGAGAAUGUACAGGUGAGUCUGUUGGAAUCAGAGAAUGUACAGGUGAGUCUGUUGGAAAUAGAGAAUGUACAGGUGAGUCUGUUGGAAACAGAGAAUGUACAGGUGAGUCUGUUGGAAUCAGAGAAUGUACAGGUGAGUCUGUUGGAAACAGAGAAUGUACAGGUGAGUCUGUUGGAAUCAGAGAAUGUACAGGUGAGUCUGUUGGAAACAGAGAAUGUACAGGUGAGUCUGUUGGAAACAGAGAAUGUACAGGUGAGUCUGUUGGAAACAGAAAAUGUACAGGUGAGUCUGUUGGAAUCAGAGAAUGUACAGGUGAGUCUGUUGGAAACAGAGAAUGUACAGGUGAGUCUGUUGGAAUCAGAGAAUGUACAGGUGAGUCUGUUGGAAUCAGAGAAUGUACAGGUGAGUCUGUUGGAAACAGAGAAUGUACAGGUGAGUCUGUUGGAAUCAGAGAAUGUACAGGUGAGUCUGUUGGAAACAGAGAAUGUACAGGUGAGUCUGUUGGAAUCAGAGAAUGUACAGGUGAGUCUGUUGGAAUCAGAUAAUGUACAGGUGAGUCUGUUGGAAUCAGAGAAUGUACAGGUGAGUCUGUUGGAAUCAGAGAAUGUACAGGUGAGUCUGUUGGAAACAGAGAAUGUACAGGUGAGUCUGUUGGAAUCAGAUGAAUGUACAGGUGAGUCUGUUGGAAUCAGAGAAUGUACAGGUGAGUCUGUUGGAAACAGAGAAUGUACAGGUGAGUCUGUUGGAAUCAGAGAAUGUACAGGUGAGUCUGAUGGAAACAGAGAAUGUACAGGUGAGCCUGUUGGAAACAGAGAAUGUACAGGUGAGUCUGUUGGAAACAGAGAAUGUACAGGUGAGUCUGUUGGAAACAGAGAAUGUACAGGUGAGUCUGUUACUAUCAGAUUAUGUGUAUUGCUUGGUGGAACAUUUCUACUCCUCAUGUUGUCUGUCCUCUUCCCAUCAGGGAGACUCUAG
rnacentral:lncRNA from 1 species